CAGGAUGAGACGGCGUCUGCAACCGUGAGGAAGAUUUUGUCCUCCCCAAUCAUGUUUGCAAAUUUGGAAGCAUGGAGCUUGUCAAUCACCACUGGCCCAGGAUUUGCCAGAAUGAGCUGUGAAACGGCAUGGAAACUUCUGUUUCAGGGCUAUAUCAGUCCUUGCAUUAUUAUGUUCACUACAAGUUCAGUAAUUGUUGGAAACUGCCUAGAUGCAAAUUAAUGGAGUCAUAAGAUUGAGUUCCAUAUUUAAGAGGGAGAAUGGCAUGCACUUAGCACAAGAGAAAGAGCAUCUCUAGUCUCUACCUCUCUUUAAUGUAAUUGGAGUUGGAAAAGUAAAUUGCAGAAUCCACUCUCACAAUCAGAACGCCUGGAACUUUAUUUGCUUCUGGAUAUUGUUGGAUGUUUCUGUACACAGAUGUCCCAGGUAUCUUCCCUAGAGUUGCAGUCCUUGGCCUGGUAACUUGUAAGAGGAUUUUAGCAAAGGAUAUUGAGACCUGCCACAACCCACAGUGAAGAAGAUUUAAGUCGCUUAAGACUAAUCACAUUAAUUCUACAUUAAUGAAUUUAGGUAGACAUUGUAAUUCUUACUGCAAUUAAGAGGCCUAUCUCAACAGAGACAAAAAUUACACCAAAGAAGGCUCCAAAACAAGCUACAAAAUCAAAUUUAUCAAUCUUCCAUAUCAGAAUCGCUGCCUGAAAGUCGACUAGGUUGAUCACAGCGGAUAUGAUGAUGGCAGAAAGAAUGGCUUUUGGUGUGUACUUAAACAGUGGUGUGAUGAAUUCCAAGGUUAGGAAUACAACGCAGGACAUCACAAUGUUAGAAAAAGCAGUUUGGCAGCCUGCCAUGUAAUUCACAGCUGACCGAGAGAAUGAACCUGCAAGUAACAUGGAGAUAUAAUCAGUCAUAGGAGAAUAGAAAUCAUUUCCAUGCUACUUAGUCAUGUGCAUGUACUUCUGCCCAUCAGUCAUUAGAGGUUCCAUGUGUCAGGGCAUCACAUUCAAUCA